rnacentral:rRNA from 1 species
UACAGAGGUCCCAAGCGUUGUUCGGAUUCACUGGGCGUAAAGGGUGCGUAGGUGGUCGGGUAAGUCCGAUGUGAAAUCCCGGAGCUCAACUCCGGAACUGCAUCGGAUACUAUUCGGCUGGAGGGUUGGAGGGGGGACUGGAAUUCUCGGUGUAGCAGUGAAAUGCGUAGAUAUCGAGAGGAACACCAGUGGCGAAGGCGAGUCCCUGGACAACUCCUGACACUGAGGCACGAAAGCUAGGGGAGCAAACAGG